UACGAAGGGGGCUAGCGUUGUUCGGAAUUACUGGGCGUAAAGGGCUCGUAGGUGGCCAACUAAGUCAGACGUGAAAUCCCUCGGCUUAACCGGGGAACUGCAUCUGAUACUGGAUGGCUUGAGAUUGGGAGAGGGACGCGGAAUUCCAGGUGUAGCGGUGAAAUGCGUAGAUAUCUGGAGGAACACCGGUGGCGAAGGCGGCGUCCUGGACCAACACUGACACUGAGGAGCGAAAGCCAGGGGAGCAAACGGG
rnacentral:rRNA from 1 species